AGCACUGCUGCAUCACUCUCUUUAGGUAGAUAUGAAGCAAGGGUUAGGUUGAAUCGCACUGCUGCGACUAUUAGCAAGUAGCCGAUCACAUUGUAGGCAAUGUAGGAAACCAUGAAGCAUAUGACUAAGAGUCAUGUAGAGAGAGGUUAAAAUGUGAUUGUUGCAGAUUAUCUCUAGUAUCUAGUAUGGUUCAAGCCCCAGCACUGUCAGGCUCUGGGUUACUGAUCGGAAGGUCGGGGGUUCAAGCCCCAGCACUGCCAGGCUCUGGGUUACUGAUCGGAAGGUCGAGGUUCAAGCCCCAGCACUGUCAGGCUGUGGGUUACUGAUCAGAAGGUCGGGGGUUCAAGCCCCAGCACUGCCAGGCUCUGGGUUACUGAUCGGAAGGUCAGGGGUUCAAGCCCCAGCACUGCCAAGCUGCCUCUGUUGGGCCCUUGACUAAGGGUCGCUGUAUCAUGGCUGACCCUGUGCUCUGACCCCAACUUCCUAACAUGCUGGGGUAUACAAAGAAAAUAAUUUCACUGUGCUGAAAUAUAUGCGUGACCAAUAAAGACUCCUUAUCAUUAUCUCUUUAAUCUAUACGUCAUGGCCGAAGACAUUUCUUUCCUUCUCCUGCUUGCUUUGCAAUUCUGAAGUUAAGUAGGGCUCGUAAAUAUCCCAUUAACUUCAGUUGCAAGUAUUUUGAGUUUGUUGAGUGUGCACUGACACGGAAGCGACACGCCUGUAGUCUCAGUCCUACUCAUCAGACGUUUGCUUUGGCCCGGUGUAAAGAUUAAAACCCAAAGGUGCCAAAGAUUUCCCUCUCGUUUGCCUGCCCACGGUAGGGGGUAUUUUGGUAGCAGACGGGCGCGGAGAGGAGUGUGUUGGCUCACAGUCGGGCAUCUCCCUCCCCCGCUGCUCUCUAAAACUGGCCACUCUUCCUCUCGGUGGUGUCCAGCAGGGUCGGCUGGUGGUGAUGGAGAUAGAUGAAGGGAAUAAGAGCCAAGCGUGGUCAUUGCCCGAGCGACGCUUGCGAGAGCUGCUCACGCAUUUGUCUUCUCUUCUCCCUCUGUUUACUCUUAGCUGCUGAUUAAAGGAAGAUAGGCAGGACUUAUAUUCUCACAUCUGAUUUUUUUUUUUUUUUCAAGAAAUCGAGUUCUUCUUUUUUUUUUUUUUCCGCCAGUCCACACUUUAUAAUUAAUGGCAGGGUCGUCAGGAAGACUGCACUUGCCAUGUUAAUGGAUUGAACCCAGCUUGUUUAAUUGAUGUCCCCAGUUGCGAC
ensembl:lncRNA